rnacentral:rRNA from 1 species
UAGGACGGAACUGAUAAACCUAGCGGCGGACGGGUGAGUAACACGUGAGCAACCUACCUUUUGCAGGGGAACAACAUUGGGAAACCAGUGCUAAUACCGCAUAAUAUCUUGGCAAGGCAUCUUGCCAAGAUCAAAGGAUUUCGAUCCGGCAAAAGAUGGGCUCGCGUCCGAUUAGCUAGUUGGUAAGGUAAAAGCUUACCAAGGCGACGAUCGGUAGCCGAACUGAGAGGUUGAUCGGCCACAUUGGGACUGAGACACGGCCCAGACUCCUACGGGAGGCAGCAGUGGGGAAUAUUGGGCAAUGGGGGCAACCCUGACCCAGCAACGCCGCGUGAAGGAAGAAGGCCUUCGGGUUGUAAACUUCUUUGAUCAGGGACGAAACAAAUGACGGUACCUGAAGAACAAGUCACGGCUAACUACGUGCCAGCAGCCGCGGUAAUACGUAGGUGACAAGCGUUAUCCGGAUUUAUUGGGUGUAAAGGGCGUGUAGGCGGGCUUGCAAGUUGGAUGUGAAAUUCUCAGGCUUAACCUGAGAGGGUCAUCCA